rnacentral:rRNA from 1 species
UACGUAGGGUGCAAGCGUUGUCCGGAAUUAUUGGGCGUAAAGAGCUCGUAGGCGGUUUGUCGCGUCGAAUGUGAAAAACCCGGGGCUCAACUCCGGGCCUGCAUUCGAUACGGGCAGACUAGAGUUCGGUAGGGGAGUCUGGAAUUCCUGGUGUAGCGGUGAAAUGCGCAGAUAUCAGGAGGAACACCGGUGGCGAAGGGCGGGGAACUCCGUGGGGCCGAACUGACUGACGCUUGG